AACGAACGCUGGCGGCGCGCCUAAUACAUGCAAGUCGAGCGAGAAGACGUAGCAAUACGUUUGUAAAGCGGCGAACGGGUGAGGAAUACAUGGGCAACCUACCCUCGAGUGGGGAAUAACUAGCCGAAAGGUUAGCUAAUACCGCGUACGCUCCUUGGACUUCGGUUCAGGGAGGAAAGCGAUACCGUGGGUAUCGCGCUCUUGGAUGGGCUCAUGUCCUAUCAGCUUGUUGGGAGGUAACGGCUCACCAAGGCUUCGACGGGUAGCUGGUCUGAGAGGACGAUCAGCCACACUGGCACUGCGACACGGGCCAGACUCCUACGGGAGGCAGCAGUAAGGAAUAUUGCGCAAUGGGCGAAAGCCUGACGCAGCGACGCCGCGUGGGGGAUGAAGGUC
rnacentral:rRNA from 1 species